rnacentral:rRNA from 1 species
GAGUAACCUUUUAGGAGCUAGCCGUCGAAGGUGGGACAGAUGAUUGGGGUGAAGUCGUAACAAGGUAGCCGUAUCGGAAGGUGCGGCUGGAUCACCUCCUUUCUAAGGA